rnacentral:tRNA from 2 species
GCUCCCGUAGCUCAAUCGUAAAGAGCGCCGUGCUUCUAACGCGGACGAUGAAGGUUAGAGUCCUUCCGGGAGCGCCA